GGAGUCGUCAAAUACCGGGAGUGGAAACGAGAUGCGCGAGCGUGAUCCAUGCUCGCCUCGCGCUGGAGCACGCCGAUUUUUUCCAAAUAAUCUUUUUUGUGCCACAUUCACCAAUUCCGCGGGAUUUUCAAAAUGUCAAAAUCUAUUUUGGUUCUUCCUGCAAGCGGAGCAGUUUUGACGUCUCCAUACAUAAACCUUCUCGUCAGAUUUCCGCUUCCCUUUUGUAGUAUUAUCACUCUUCGUCGUGGAUUCGUCGGCAGUGCAUGGUCAUGCUGGACAGGGAGAUAUCGGUAGCCAUUUUACGAGUGAUGUUUGGAACUUUGGCGAGAGAGCAUUCGAUUUAUCAACCUCCAGUCAAGUACAGACCCAGGGAAACUUCUGUUGCAAGGGCCAUCCACUACGCCGUGAAGUUGAACAGCCCCGAAGUUGUAACCUUUUAUCUAAGAUUGACAUAUGUUAUCGUGAUGUUGCACAUGCUGAUCGUCAUCGCCGAACUGACCUGUUGAAGAUGGUGAAGAGGAGUAAGGUUGACACUAUUAAUCUGGCCUGGACGUCUCUCCUCGAGACACUGUCCAAGUUGCCAAGUCAUGAGAAAAUGGAUGUCCUGGACCUGGAGACUACAUCAGCUGUGUUUUCAAGCGUAAUUUGCGGUACAGUAGUGGCAAGAAAGCCGUCCAUCAUGCCAGCAUCAUCCGCAGCAGCAACAGCAGCAGCACCCCAGCCCACCACCAUAGUCAACUGCACUGCAGAGACACCAAAAAGAUACCAUGGUGGUUGGUGUGUUGUUGCGGUGAGAAGAGAACUGGAAGCUAGCAGAAAGCCUGAGUUAACUAGCGUCAAGCCGGUGUUGGCGACUUUCGGCUAUGUAAUUCUGGCCAACAUGUCUCCGAAUCUACCAAACUUUGAAAAGAUAAUUGAAUCUGAGACACAUGAGCAUCCACCAUGUGUGUAUUCGUGUGUGUGCAUGCACAGUGUGGGCAUGCACAGCGUGGGCAUGUCAGUAUGUGUGUGUGU